GCAGCUUUGAUGCCCAGUGGUGCGCAGAGCGGCCCUGUGCUUGGCCUGCCAGCUGCCCCCCUCCUCCUGCCCUGGCUUCCUCACUUCUCCGGAAGGGUGGAGGCUGCUGCCUCCUCUGUGCUCUGGCCAUGGAUGGGGCUGUACAAAGCCUGUGUUCACAGCCUCUCUGCCUGAUCCUUGCACUGGGAAGCAGGGCCCCUCUGCUGCCAGCCCUUCCAGCAUCUGGACUUCCCCUAAAGUCUCAGCAAGAAACUCUGCUCUCUCUAAAAAAAGGAAAGAAGUAGCUGAUCUCAGUGUUGCAGAGAAAAACUGGAAGUCUUGCCCAACAGACUCAAAAAAAAAAGAGGGACUUGAAAAAAGGUAAGAAGUCGUCCCCUGUGGCCUGCCUCAAACCACUACCCCACACCGCUUGGUUCCUUGGGUGCUUGCAGCUGCUUGCCACUGCUAUAGCCAGCCUGUACCCCAGAAACAACGGCAUCGGGAUCCAGUUUUUGCAGUGUUGUUUGAGAUCCCUCACUGACCCGCUGACCAGGAUGCUCUCCUAUUCCACAUCUGAUCAUACUGCUAGGCUGCAGUAUUGGUCCUCCACCCUUUCCUGGUACAGCUGGCAGAGGAGGGAGCAACACAAAUUUUUGUCUUAGCAGAAGAGAAUGGCGAAAGUACAGAGUGCAUCUGGAGCCAUCUCCUGAGCAUUGCUCAUGAAUUAGCGGGCCAAAUCGCUGUUAAAAAACCCGCCUCAAUGGCAUACUAAUGAGGUUACACUGGUUUACUGCAGCUGAGGCUCUGUCCCUGUCACCACUAGGAAAAGUUGAUCAGGUCCAGUGGAUUGCUGACUUCUUUUAUGAAGAAGCUAUAAAAAGUUCUUUGCUUCUGCUAGUGCUUCUCUCUGGGGAGUUGUUGGCAGAGAGAGGCGAGUCUCUCAGCAAUAAUACAUUUCAAAGUUAUUAUGCCAGCAGAAAAGAAACAUAGGGAUUUGAACUUGGUAAUAUAUAUAUUUUUUUUAAGACAGGACAGAACACUAAAAGGUCCCCCUUCCCCGCUGCCGCACAGACCUCCCAGGUCCACAGGACACCUGGCUUGCUGCACUACGGGAUGGCAGCGGCUGCAACCGGGACCUCAUUUCAGGUCUAAUCCCAGGGGAGGUGACAAGUGUGGCUCUGGAUUUUGAUGUCUCGGUCCUGCCUAUGAGCUGGCUCCUGCACUGGCUGGGAGGGAUGGAGAUUUGGGCAGAGCCUGCCCAGCCUCUGGGCUUGUCCCUUCUUCUGGCUGCGGACAGAUGGGGUCACCUCUCUCCACCUCACUGCUGUAACAAACCCACUAGUCAGGGUGACGCAUUUGGGUAGUGAAUGGUGCUGCCUGAAUCUUUUGCUGUGGUAAUAAUAGUGCUUUCACCCAGGAAAUAAGUGAAUUGUCAGCUGAGACCUCCUCUUUUUGUAAUGAUUAACCCUCCACUAAUGAUUUGAUAUAAUAUUGGGUGACGCUGAGUGCUGCAAUAUUGAUGUUUAAUGUGGUCCAACGCAAAAGCUCAGGAAGCAAUAAAGAUUUACCCUGGCUAAUAUGUCAGGGCCGGGUUGUCCCUGGGCACUGUACUAGCCCAUGGCCUGAUGUGUUUGCUGUAGUGUGGCAGCCUCACCAAACAGAAGCUGAAUUUCUGGCUAAUAAUUUAAUGAAGCCUUCACUGCAUUUCCAGUUACUGGAAAAAGCCAUGAUUCUUUUUUGCUACAUGUUAUAAAACCAGCCCUUCAUACUCCACUGAGCCAAGGGAGAGCACCUCAUCCCUCUAUUUGAGCUCACCAGACCUGCAGCAGAGCCUGCCUGGUCCACAGCUACGUGCUAAGGCUGUACAGGCGCUGCGCAUGGGGCUGGGAGCCAGCUCCCAAAUGGAGAAGGGCAGCAGAGGUAGAGCACCACACCGGGGCACCUACCUGGCCUCCUUGCCCUGCACGCAGCUGAGGUAGAUGAAGCUGGUGCAGACCGGCGCCAGAAAUAAGGUGGCGUGGGAGGAAAACUUGGAAGGACAAAUUACCCCAAGUAUUGAUUCCCUGGCUGCUUGCAGAGGGAUUUCAUUUAGCAAUACUGCCAAUGACAUUAUGUGCAGGAUCUUAUCCAUGGUAGUUCGGUGGCAUUAAGAGAAUUACUUUGGCCUAAUGAAUAGGAAUAAGAAUAUUUCAGCCUCCUCCCUGGAAAGUAAUGGUGGAUCAUCAAGUGUGCAGCCAAGUUCAGAUCUAGUCACUUGCCAAGUGAAUGCAAAUGACAGGUUGUUUUAUUUAAUGGAGACCAUGGUGUGUUGGCCAAAACCGCUGUCUCUUUUUUCUGUAGAUUGGUUCCCCCCUCCCUUCUAAAUCAGACUUUGUCUCUACUCCUGACUGGCUUUUUUUUUUUUUUUUUAACAAGCAGAAGAGAUUUUUGCUGACUCUUGCACUGAAAUCUGUCUGUAUAGAUUGCAACAAACCUCCUCAAUCAGCUGUAUUUCAUACCGCAUUAGGGAAGAAAGCAGGAGCCAGUGCAGUGGUGGUCAUCACCGCCAGCCUGCAGUGGAGCUGGUGCUCCUUG